GGGGCAGUGGCGAAAUGGCAAACGCAGCAGUCUUAAAAACUGCGGAGGAAACUCUUGUGGGUUCGACUCCCACCUGCCCUA
rnacentral:tRNA from 2 species